rnacentral:rRNA from 1 species
CCUACGGGUGGCAGCAGUGGGGAAUAGUGCACAAUGGGGGAAACCCUGAUGCAGCGACGCCGCGUGAGUGAAGAAGUAAUUCGUUAUGUAAAGCUCUAACAGCAGGGAAGAAAAGGACGGUACCUGAGGAAGAAGCCCCGGCUAACGACGUGACAGCAGCAGCGGUAAGACGUAGGGGGCAAGCGUGCUCCGGCUUUACUGGGUGUAAAGGGAGCGGAGACGGCCGGGCAAGUCUGGAGGGAAAGGCGGGGGCUCAACCCCCGGACUGCUCUUGAAACGGGACGGCUGGAGUGCAGGAGCGGUAAGUGGCAUUCCUUGUGUAGCGGUGACAUGCGUAGCUCUUAGGAGG